rnacentral:rRNA from 1 species
CAAGCNUGCGAAGGCAAGCGAAUCUCUGAAAGCUGUUCUCAGUUCGGACUGCAGUCUGCAACUCGACUGCACGAAGCUGGAAUCGCUAGUAAUCGCGGAUCAGCACGCCGCGGUGAAUACGUUCCCGGGCCUUGUACACACCGCCCGUCACACCAUGGGAGUCUGCAAUGCCCAAAGCCGGUGGCCUAACCUUCGGGAAGGAGCCGUCUAAGGCAGGGCAGAUGACUGGGGUGAAGUCGUAACAAGGUAGCCGUAGGAGAACCUGCGGCUGGAUCACCUCC